CCUACGGGUGGCAGCAGUGAGGAAUAUUGGUCAAUGGGCGUAAGCCUGAACCAGCCACGUCGCGUGAGGGAUGAAGGUUCUAUGGAUCGUAAACCUCUUUUAUAAGGGAAUAAAGUGCGGGACGUGUCCCGUUUGGCACGUACCUUAUGAAUAAGGAUCGGCUAACUCCGUGCCAGCAGCCGCGGUAAUACGGAGGAUCCGAGCGUUAUCCGGAUUUAUUGGGUUUAAAGGGUGCGUAGGCGGCCUUUUAAGUCAGCGGUGAAAGUCUGUGGCUCAACCAUAGGAUUGCCGUGGAAACUGGAAGGCUUGAGUGUGUUUGAGGCAGGCGGAAUGCGUGGUGUAGCGGUGAAAUGCUUAGAUAUCACGCAGAACCCCGAUUGCGAAGGCAGCCUGCCGGGCCGUAACUGACGUUGAGGCACGAAAGCGUGGGGAGCAAACAGGAUUAGAUACCCGAGUAGUC
rnacentral:rRNA from 1 species